CCUACGGGAGGCAUCAGUGAUUCAUCUUUUUCAAUUUCCUUCCUGCUUAACCAGCCAAGUCGCGUGAGGGACGACUGCCCUAUGGGUUGUAAACCUCUUUUAUAAGGGAAGAAUAAAUGCUACGUGUAGCAUGAUGCCUGUACCUUAUGAAUAAGCAUCGGCUAACUCCGUGCCAGCAGCCGCGGUAAUACGGAGGAUGCGAGCGUUAUCCGGAUUUAUUGGGUUUAAAGGGUGCGUAGGCGGUUUUUUAAGUUAGUGGUUAAACUUCGGGGCUUCACCUUGUUUUGCCAUUAAUACUGUAAUUC
rnacentral:rRNA from 1 species